rnacentral:rRNA from 1 species
UCAGAAGAAAUUCAAUUUGUGAAAAGAAAAAAUUAGUGAAGUAAAACAUUUUAGUAACUAAUAAAAAAAUCAACUGAGAUAUCGUUAGUAGUGGCGAGCGAAUGCGAAAUAGACUAAAUAGAAAUAACUAUAUUAAAAUCCAUAGAAGGUUAAAGUCCUGUAGAUAUAAAAAUUUUUAUUAAAAUUCACAACGGAUUAUGUUAAAUUUGUUGGUAUGUUGAGGAUCUACCCUCAAGUCUAUUAAAUCUUUAAUAACCGAUAGUGAACAAGUACCGUGAGGGAAAGGUGAAAAAGAACUUUUUUAGAGUAAAAAGAAUCUAAAAUUUAAUGCAUACAAUCUGUUGGAGCUUUAUUGUAAAAGUUACAGCGUACCUUUUGCAUAAUGGGCCAGUGAUUUUUUAUUUUUGGCAAGUUUAAUUAUAAUUAGUAGACGCAAAUAACUUGAUGUUUUAAUUAAAGCGAGUUUAAAGUCAUAAAUAAAAGACCCGAAGCUGAGUGAUCUAACCAUGAACAGGUUGAAGAAACUGUGGAAACACAUUUUGGAGGACCGAACCCGUGUCUGUAGAAAAAUACUGGGAUGAUUUGUGGUUGGGAGUGAAAGGCUAAUCAAACUCAGGUAUAGCUGGUUUUCUGCGAAAUAUAUUUUAGUAUAGCCUGCAAAUUUAAUUUAAAAUAGGGUAGAGCACUUUUUGAGUAAGGGGGAUAACUUAUCUUACUGAAUUUUGAAAAACUCCGAAUAUGUUUUAAUUUUUUGUGGAGUCAGACAAUAGGUGCGAAGGUCUAUUGUCAAGAGGGAAACAGCCCAGAUUACGUGAUAAGGUCUUCAAUUAUAAGUUAAGUGAUAAGAAGGUUAAAAAAUUAAGACAAUUAUAAAGUAGGCUUGGAAGCAGCCAUCUUUUUGAGAAAGCGUAACAGCUCAUUAAUCUAGUUUUUUUGCGUCGAAAAUGUAUAGAGACUAAAACUUAUAACCGAAUCAGUAAAAUAUUUGGUAGCAGAACGUUCGGUAUGUUGAUAAAGAUAUUUUGUGAAAAAUAUUCUAGAUAUCCGAAGUGAGUAUACUGGCAUUAGUAGCUAUAAACAGUGUUUAAUCACUGUCGCCGUAAAUCUAAGGUUUUCGAUACAACAUUUGAUGAUAUCGAAAAAAGCUUAUUCGGUCCCUAAGACAAAUUACAAAAGUAUAAGUUGAUGGGA